rnacentral:lncRNA from 1 species
CCAGGCCCACACCACUAUAUCAAUGACAGCAUCAAAGGUAGAUCCGUGUUCAAUAACCAGGCCAACAUUAGCCACACCAUAAGCUCCUUCUUUCAAAACUUAAUUUUUAUCUCCUAUCAUAGGGUGAGGCAGAGAACAAUAUCCACGUCUACAUAACAACAAAAAAUUGUUGAAACUGACAAAAGAUAACCAAGAAAACAAGAAGUGCCAUCCAUUAUGGAAAUUGAAGAGUAUAACUAUAAACACGGGAAACUCUAGGUAGAAGAGAAAAUGUAGUAGAAAAAAAAAAUACUAUUAUGUAUUUCCUUUGCGACCCUCGAUUUACAAUAUACCAAUGAUAACAUCAAAGAUCUGUCCGCGUCCAAAAACCAGACCAAGAUAGCCCCCACAUUAAGCUCCUACAGUGAUGGAAUCAAAACCUAUUUUGUAUCUCCUGUCACAGGGUAGGCCCAAAACAAUAUCCAAGUCUAUAUAACAACAAAAGAAAUAUAAUAGAGAGAUCAAAUGCAACCAAUUAUGAACCCAGAACUGCCUUCCAGUUAAGCUUGAUUAAGAACCACACAACGAUCAGGCAUCUGGAAAUUGAAGAGAAUAACAAUAAGCACGGGAAAGUCAAGAUGGAAGAUAAAUUGUAGCAGAAUUAAUACAAUACUAUACUCCCUCUGACACCCUCGAUAAACAUUAUAUCAGUGACAGCAUCAAAAGUUGAUAUGUCUCCAAUAACUAGACCAAGAUUAGCCCCACCAUAAGCUGCUUCUUUCACAACUUAAUUUUUAACCCCUGUCACAAGGUGAGGCAGAAAACAAUAUCCACGUCUACGUAACAAAUAAAAGAUUGUUGAAACUGACAAAAGAUAACCAAGCAUACCAGAAGUGCCUUCCAGUUAAGAACCACACAACAAUCAGACAUCUGGAAAUUGAAGAGUAUAACUAUUAGCACGGGAAACUCUAGGUAGAAGAGAAAAUGUAGUAGAAAAAAAAUACUAUUAUGUACUCCAUGUACUCCCUUUACCACCCACAUUAAACUAUAUCAAUGACAGCAUGAAGGAUUUGUCAGUGUACCAAAAACCAGACCAAGACACGCCCCCACCUUAAGCUCCUACUUUGAUAGAAUCAGAACCUAUUUUGUAUCUCCUAUCACAGGGUGAGGCUGAAACCAACAUCGAGUCUAAAUAACAACAAAAGAACUACAAUAGAGAGAGCAAAGGUAACCAACUAUCAAACCCGAACUGCCGUCCAGUAAGCUUGAUUAAGAACCACACAACGAUCGGGCAUCUGGAAAUGGAAGAGAAUAACGAUAAGCACCGGAAGGUCUAGAUGGAAGAUAAAUUGUAUUAGAAGAAAUACUAUACUAACUCCCUCUGCCACCCUCGAAAAACAUAUCAUGACCAUCAAAGGAUUGAUUGUGUGCAAUAACUGACUAAGAUUAGCCCUACCUUAAGCCCUACUUUGAUAAAAUUAAAACUUAAUUUUUAUCUCAUGUCAUAGGGUGGGGCAGAAAACAAUAUCACGUCUAUGUACAAACAAAAAUUGUUGAAAUGACAAAAGAUAACCAAACAUCAAACCAGAAGUGUCAUCCAGUUAAGAACCACCCCACGAUCAGACAUCUGGAAAUUGAAGAGUAUAUCUAUAAGCACGGGAAACUCUAGGUAGAAGAGAAAAUGUAUAGAAAUAAAAAUACUAUUAUGUACUCCCUUUGCCACCCUCGAUUAACACAAUAUCAAUGACUCAUCAAAGAUCUGUCCGCGUCCAAAAACCAGACCAAGAUAGCCCCCACAUUAAGCUCCUACAGUGAUGGAAUCAAAACCUAUUUUGUAUCUCCUGUCACAGGGUAGGCCCAAAACAAUAUCCAAGUCUAUAUAACAACAAAAGAAUAUAAUAGAGAGAUCAAAUGCAACCAAUUAUGAACCCAGAACUGCCUUCCAGUUAAGCUUGAUUAAGAACCAAACAACGAUCAGGCAUCUGGAAAUCGAAGAGAAUAACAAUAAGCACGGGAAAGUCAAGAUGGAAGAUAAAUUGUAGCAGAAUUAAUACAAUACUAUACUCCCUCUGACACCCUCGAUAAACAUUAUAUCAGUGACAGCAUCAAAAGUUGAUGUCUCCAGUAACUAGACCAAGAUUAGCCCCACCAUAAGCUGCUUCUUUCACAACUUAAUUUUUAACUCCUGUCACAAGGUGAGGCAGAAAACAAUAUCCACGUCUACGUAACAAAUAAAAGAUUGUUGAAACUGACAAAAGAUAACCAAGCAUACCAGAAGUGCCUUCCAGUUAAGAACCACACAACAAUCAGACAUCUGGAAAUUGAAGAGUAUAACUAUUAGCACGGGAAACUCUAGGUAGAAGAGAAAAUGUAGGUAGAAAAAAAAUACUAUUAGUACUCCCUUUACCACCCACUAUUAACACUAUAUCAAUGACAGCAUGAAGGAUUUGUCAGUGUCCAAAAACCAGACCAAGACAGCCCCCACCUUAAGCUCCUACUUGAUAGAAUCAGAACCUAUUUUGUAUCUCCUAUCACAGGGUGAGGCUGAAACCAACAUCCGAGUCUAAAUAACAACAAAAGAACUACAAUAGAGAGAGCAAAGGUAACCAACUAUCAAACCCGAACUGCCGUCCAGUUAAGCUUGAUUAAGAACCACACAACGAUCGGGCAUCUGGAAAUGAAGAGAAUAACGAUAAGCACCGGAAGGUCUAGAUGGAAGAUAAAUUGUAUAGAAGAAAUACUAUACUAUACUCCCUCUGCCACCCUCGAUAAACACACUAUAUAGUGACCACGUCAAAGGAUUGACUUGUGUGCAAUAACUUGACUAAGAUUAGCCCUACCUUAAGCUCCUACUUGAUAAAAUUAAAACUUAAUUUUUAUCUCAUGUCAUAGGGUGGGGCAGAAAACAAUAUCCACGUCUAUGUAGCAAACAAAAUUGUUGAACUGACAAAAGAUAACCAAACAUCAAACAGAAGUGUCUCCAGUUAAGAACCACCCCACGAUCAGACAUCUGGAAAUUGAAGAGUAUAUCUAUAAGCACGGGAAACUCGAGGUAGAAGAGAAAAUGUAGUAGAAUAAAAAUACUAUUAUGUACUCCCUUUGCCACCCUCGAUUAACACAAUAUCAAUGACUACAUCAAAGAUCUGUCGCGUCCAAAAACCAGACCAAGAUAGCCCCCACAUUAAGCUCCUACAGUGAUGGAAUCAAAACCUAUUUUGUAUCUCCUGUCACAGGGUAGGCUCAAAACAAUAUCCAAGUCUAUAUAACAACAAAAGAAAUAUAAUAGAGAGAUCAAAUGCAACCAAUUAUGAACCCAGAACUGCCUUCCAGUUAAGCUUGAUUAAGAACCAAACAACGAUCAGGCAUCUGGAAAUCGAAGAGAAUAACAAUAAGCACGGGAAAGUCAAGAUGGAAGAUAAAUUGUAGCAGAAUUAAUACAAUACUAUACUCCCUCUGACACCCUCGAUAAACAUUAUAUCAGUGACAGCAUCAAAAGUUGAUAGUCUCCAUAACUAGACCAAGAUUAGCCCCACCAUAAGUGCUUCUUUCACAACUUAAUUUUUAACCCCUGUCACAAGGUGAGGCAGAAAACAAUAUCCACGUCUACGUAACAAAUAAAAGAUUGUUGAAACUGACAAAAGAUAACCAAGCAUACCAGAAGUGCCUUCCAGUUAAGAACCACACAACAUCAGACAUCUGGAAAUUGAAGAGUAUAUCUAUAGCACGGGAAAUUCUAGGUAGAAGAGAAAAUGUAGUAGAAAAAAAAUACUAUUAUGUACUCCCUUUCCACCCCGAUUAAACAUAUCAAUGACCAUAAGAUUGUCGGUCCAAAAACCAGACCAAGACAGCCCCCACCUUAAGCUCCUACUUUGAUAGAAUCAGAACCUAUUUUGUAUCUCCUAUCACAGGGUGAGGCUGAAACCAACAUCGAGUCUAAAUAACAACAAAAGAACUACAAUAGAGAAAGCAAAGGUAACCAACUAUCAAACCCGAACUGCCGUCCAGUUAAGCUUGAUUAAGAACCACACAACGAUCGGGCAUCUGGAAAUGGAAGAGAAUAACGAUAAGCACCGGAAGGUCUAGAUGGAAGAUAAAUUGUAUUAGAAGAAAUACUAUCUAUACUCCCUCUGCCACCCUCGAUAAACACACUAUAUCAGUGACCACGUCAAAGGAUUGACUUGUGUGCAAUAACUUGACUAAGAUUAGCCCUACUUAAGCUCCUACUUUGAUAAAAUUAAAACUUAAUUUUUAUCUCAUGUCAUAGGGUGGGGCAGAAAACAAUAUCCACGUCUAUGUACAAACAAAAUUGUUGAAAUGACAAAAGAUAACCAAACAUCAAACCAGAAGUGUCUCCAGUUAAGAACCACCCAGAUCAGACAUACUGGAAAUUGAAGGUAUAUCUAUAAGACACGGAAAUUGGUAGAAGAGAAAAUUAAGUAGAAUAAAAACUAUUAUGUACUCCCUUUGCCACCCUCGAUUAACACAAUAUCAAUGACUCAUCAAAGAUCUGUCCGCGUACCAAAAACCAGACCAAGAUACCCCACAUUAAGCUCCUACAGUGAUGGAAUCAAAACCUAUUUUGUAUCUCCUGUCACAGGGUAGGCCCAAAACAAUAUCCAAGUCUAUAUAACAACAAAAGAUAUAUAAUAGAGAGAUCAAAUGCAACCAAUUAUGAACCCAGAACUGCCUUCCAGUUAAGCUUGAUUAAGAACCAAACAACGAUCAGGCAUCUGGAAAUCGAAGAGAAUAACAAUAAGCACGGGAAAGUCAAGAUGGAAGAUAAAUUAUAGCAGAAUUAAUACAAUACUAUACUCCCUCUGACACCCUCGAUAAACAUUAUAUCAGUGACAGCAUCAAAAGUUGAUAGUCUCCAUAACUAGACCAAGAUUAGCCCCACCAUAAGUGCUUCUUUCACAACUUAAUUUUUAACCCCUGUCACAAGGUGAGGCAGAAAACAAUAUCCACGUCUACGUAACAAAUAAAAGAUUGUUGAAACUGACAAAAGAUAACCAAGCAUACCAGAAGUGCCUUCCAGUUAAGAACCACCCCACAUCAGACAUCUGGAAAUUGAAGAGUAAAAUUAUAAGCACGGGAAACUCUAGCUAGAAGAGAAAAUGUAGUAGGAAAAAAUAACUAUUAUGUACUCCCUUUGCAACCCUCGAUUAACAACAUAUUAAUUGACAAUAUCAAAGAUUUUUCCGUGUCCAAAAACCAGACCAAGAUAGCCCCCACAUUAAGCUCCUAUUGCGAUGGUAUCAAAACCUAUUUUGUAUCUCCUGUCAUAGGGUGAGGGCCAAAUCAAUAUCCAAGUCUACAUAACAACAAAAUAACUAUAAUAGAAAGAGCAAGGGUAACCAAUUAUCAAACCAGAACUGCCUUCCAUUUAAGCUUGAUUAAAAACCACACAACAAUCAAGCAUCUGGAAAUUGAAGAGAAUAAAGAUAAGUAUGAGAAAGUCUAGGUGGAAGAUAAAUUUUAGUAGAAAAAAUUACUAUAAAAUACUCCCUCUGCUACCCUGGAUAAAACCUAUAUCAGAGACAGCGUGAAAGGUUUGAUCUGUGUCCAAUAACUUGACCAAGAUUAGCCCCACCUUAUGCUCCCUACUUUGAUAAAAUCAAAACUUAAAUUUUAUCUCCUGCCAUAGGAUGAGGAGAAAACAAUAUCCACGUCUACGUAGCAAACAAAAAACUGAUGAAAAAGAGAACCAAGCAUCAAACCAGAAGUGUCUUCAAGUUAAGAACCACACAACGACCAGACACCUGGGAUUGAAGAGUAUAACGAUGGAGAGUAUAACGAUAAGAACCAGAAACUCUGGGUAGAAUAGAAUAUGUAGAAGAUAAAAUACUAUUCUGUUCUCCAUCUGCCUCCCUCAAUAAACACUAUAUCAAUGCCGGCAUCAUAGAUUAGUCCAUGUCCAAAAACCCAACCAAGAUAGCCCCAACUUAGAGCUCCUACUUUGAUAGAAUUAAAACCUAUUUUGUAUCUCCUGUAACAGGGUGAGGCCCAAAACAAUAUCCAAGUCAACAUAACAACACAAAAACUACAUUUACAGAGCAAACGUAACCAAUUAUCAAACCAGCCUUCCCGUGAAGCUUGAUUAAGAACCACACAGAGAUCAGGCAUCUGCAAAUUGAUGAGAACAACAGUAAGCACGCGAUAGUCUAGGGAGAAGAUAAAAUGUUGUAAAAAAAAAUACUAUUCGAUACUCCCUCUGCCACACUCGAUAUUAACAGCGUCAAAGGUUUAUCUUCCGAUAACCAGAUUAGCCCCACCUUAAGCUCCUUCUUUUAAUACUUAAUUUUUAUCUCCUGUCAUAGGGUGAGGCAGAAAACAAUAUCCACGUCUACGUAACAAACAAAAAAUUGUUGAAACUGACAAAAGAUAACCAAGCAUCAAACCAGAAGUGCCUUCCAGUUAAGAACCACUGAACCACACAACGAAUCAUCAGACAUCUGGAGAUUGAAGAGUAUAACUAUAAGCACGGGAAACUUUAG